GAUGAACGCUGGCGGCGUGCCUAAUACAUGCAAGUCGAGCGAACAGAUGAGGAGCUUGCUCCUCUGACGUUAGCGGCGGACGGGUGAGUAACACGUGGAUAACCUACCUAUAAGACUGGGAUAACUUCGGGAAACCAGAGUUAAUACCGGAUAAUAUAUUGAACCGCAUGGUUCAAUAGUGAAAGACGGUUUUGCUGUCACUUAUAGAUGGAUCCGCGCCGCAUUAGCUAGUUGGUAAGGUAACGGCUUACCAAGGCAACGAUGCGUAGCCGACCUGAGAGGGUGAUCGGCCACACUGGAACUGAGACACGGUCCAGACUCCUACGGGAGGCAGCAGUAGGGAAUCUUCCGCAAUGGGCGAAAGCCUGACGGAGCAACGCCGCGUGAGUGAUGAAGGUCUUCGGAUCGUAAAACUCUGUUAUUAGGGAAGAACAAAUGUGUAAGUAACUAUGCACGUCUUGACGGUACCUAAUCAGAAAGCCACGGCUAACUACGUG
rnacentral:rRNA from 1 species